rnacentral:rRNA from 1 species
GACGAACGAGGGGGGAGGGAGGAACACAAGCAAGUCGAACGGAAAGGCCCUGCUUUUGUGGGGUGCUCGAGUGGCGAACGGGUGAGUAACACGUGAGUAACCUGCCCUUGACUUUGGGAUAACUUCAGGAAACUGGGGCUAAUACCGGAUAGGAGCUCCUGCUGCAUGGUGGGGGUUGGAAAGUUUCGGCGGUUGGGGAUGGACUCGCGGCUUAUCAGCUUGUUGGUGGGGUAGUGGCUUACCAAGGCUUUGACGGGUAGCCGGCCUGAGAGGGUGACCGGCCACAUUGGGACUGAGAUACGGCCCAGACUCCUACGGGAGGCAGCAGUGGGGAAUAUUGCACAAUGGGCGGAAGCCUGAUGCAGCAACGCCGCGUGCGGGAUGACGGCCUUCGGGUUGUAAACCGCUUUCGCCUGUGACGAAGCGUGAGUGACGGUAAUGGGUAAAGAAGCACCGGCUAACUACGUG